rnacentral:lncRNA from 1 species
GAAGAAACGCAGCAGAGGGCAAAGGGCGAGGUCCAACGGCCCAGCCCCAGCAGGGGACUCUCGAGCUUCGGGAUUCCGCCUACCCGGCCACCACCUCCUUCAUGCUCCUCUGUGAUCACCUCUCCAAGUCCCGGUGUCAGGAGCCUUCUCUGUGGCCGCCCUGGAGAGACUUGAGCCUGGGACGUGACGUGCUGGGCUGUGAAGCUUUCUGAGAAGGGAAACCUGUGGCCUGACCUGCCUGAAUGCUGCACCCAACCUCAUCUCUUCCUGGGAGAAACCAACAACUGUCAGCAUUGACACCAUCAGGCCUUUCUCUUCUAAUUUAACCUUGCAGCCAACCACACGGCUAUCUGUGCGGGAUCUCUCCCCAAGCUCAAGGACAUGAGAUGCGGAUCAGGCCCAAGAGGCUGGAUGCCAAACCUAUCCUCUCCAUGUGAAGCACCAACUUGGGGGUGUCAACUAAAAAUAUGAGACCCGUAAACUUGGAAAGGAAGACUUUAUUUCUUGAGAAGGGUUGCAAACUGCAGGCUGGGAAGUGGCACCUCCAGCUGAGACCACAAACAGUGGACUUUCUCAAACUGGGGUAUUGACCUCUGAUGAACCGCCAUGCAAACCCGUGCCUUUCAACAUAAAAAGAAGCCCUUCGAGGUGCUCACCUUCAAGCUUGCUAGAGGAGGAGGAAGAGCAGGUUGAGUUUGACAUAACUAGAAUGGGUUGAGCCUUUCCAGCAGAGUAAGGUUCUUUCAUGGUGGACAGUGGCCACCCACUGCCAUUUCUACAAGAAGAUUUUGCUUCUUAGGC